rnacentral:rRNA from 1 species
AGCGAACGCUGGCGGCAGGCCUAACACAUGCAAGUCGAACGAACCUUUCGGGGUUAGUGGCGGACGGGUGAGUAACACGUGGGAACGUGCCGUUAGGUUCGGAAUAACUCAGGGAAACGUGUGCUAAUACCGAAUGUGCUCUUCGGGGGAAAGAUUUAUCGCCUUUAGAGCGGCCCGCGUCUGCUUAGCUAGUUGGUUGAGGUAAUGGCUCACCAAGGCGACGAUCAGUAGCUGGUCUGAGAGGAUGAUCAGCCACAUUGGGACUGAGACACGGCCCAAACUCCUACGGGAGGCAGCCGCGGGGAAUCCUGCGAAAUGGGCGAAAGCCUGACGCAGCCAUGCCGCGUGAAUGAUGAAGGUCUUAGGAUUGUAAAAUUCUUUCACCGGGGACGAUACUGACGGUACCCGGAGAAGAAGCCCCGGCUAACUUCGUG